GAUCAUGGCUCAGAACGAACGCUGGCGGCAUGGAUUAGGCAUGCAAGUCGAACGGUGUAGCAAUACACAGUGGCGGAAGGGUGAGGAACACGUGAAUAAUUUGCCCUCAAGUUGGGAAUAACUUUCCGAAAGGAAAGCUAAUACCGAAUGUGGUGUUUUAUCGCAUGAUAGGACAACUAAAGAUUUAUCGCUUGAGGAUGAGUUCGCGUCCCAUUAGCUAGUUGGCGGGGUAACGGCCCACCAAGGCAGAGAUGGGUAGCUGGUCUGAGAGGAUGAUCAGCCACACUGGGACUGAGACACUGCCCAGACUCCUACGGGAGGCUGCAGUCGAGAAUCUUUUGCAAUGCGCGAAAGCGUUGACAAAGCAAUGCCGCGUGCCGGAUGAAGGUCUUCGGAUUGUAAACGGCUGUCACUCGGGACGAAAAAUGACGGUACCGAGGGAGGAAGCCACGGCUAACUACGUGCCAGCAGCAGC
rnacentral:rRNA from 1 species